rnacentral:misc_RNA from 1 species
UUCUUGCCAAAAAUUACUAGUAAAAAUUUUGUCCCUAUCUGAAACAAUAAUUUAAGGAACUCCAUGUAACUUGAAAAUAUUAUCCACGAAAAGUUGAGCUACUGUUGCAACAGAAUAAGGAUGAGCUAAAGGCAAGAAGUGUGCAAAUUUGGUAAAUCUACACACCACAACUAAAAUGACAUCCUUGCCCUUUAACUUGGGAACUCCCUCAAUAAAAUCCAUUGAAAUUUGCUACCAUGCUUGAGAAGGGAUGGCUAAUGGCUGCAACAACCCUGGGUAAGCACAUUGUUCUGCUUUACACCUUGCACAAGUCUCACAUUCCCUCACCCAUUUCAUCACAUCUUGCAACAUUCCAUUCCAGAAAAAAUACCUUAUGAGCUUCAUAUUGGUGGCAUGAACACCUGAAUGACCAUAGGAGAGUCAUGAUAUGAUUGCAUAAAACAACUUUUAAAGUAGU